UACGUAGGGGGCGAGCGUUGUCCGGAUUUAUUGGGCGUAAAGAGCUCGUAGGCGGCUUGGCAAGUCGGGUGUGAAACCUCCAGGCUCAACCUGGAGACGCCACUCGAUACUGCCAUGGCUAGAGUCCGGUAGGGGACCACGGAAUUCCUGGUGUAGCGGUGAAAUGCGCAGAUAUCAGGAGGAACACCGGUGGCGAAGGCGGGUCUCUGGGCCGUAACUGACGCUGAGGAGCGAAAGCGUGGGGAGCGAACAGG
rnacentral:rRNA from 1 species